rnacentral:misc_RNA from 1 species
GAGGAGGAGGAGGAGGAGGAGGAAGAGAACAAAAUCUCUUGUAGAAGCGAGCUAACGUAAGCCGGAUUGCGCUUUAAAGAUUUGGGACGCCAUAGGAAGCAUGCACGCAGAUUCGGUGCUCCUUAAACUCUUUCUCUUGGCCUUUUUUCACGUUGCAGUUUCACAUAUAACGUACACACAUGCCUCUGCAGGCAGACACAUAUGCAUAUAUGGGAAUUGGGGAAUUAAGCUGCAGAUGAAUUAUAUAUAUGUAUAAAGAAAUUCAAAAAAAAUCAAGAAAUAAAGUUUCCUUUUUUUCCUUUAUUUCUUUCUUUCCUGAUCUGUAAAGAAAAUGAUUUCUCUCUAUCAAUCUAA